rfam:Gossypium arboreum cultivar AKA8401 contig_8758_1, whole genome shotgun sequence.
AUUCCAUGAUGAAGGCACUUUCGUAAUAACUCUUUAUACAUUUCCCAUGCCUCAUACAAGGACUCAUCAUCCAUUGCUGGAAAGCAGUGAUCUCGUUCCUCAACUU